UAUUAUUUUUUGUUGAGGGGGUAUUACAGCGUUUUAUCACCCGUCACCCGGAUACUCCCCCCCUUUGACUCCGACGGUGAGGUCUCUCAAAGUUUGGGAGAAAAAGAGAGAGAGAAAGAGAGAGUAGCAGUCAAUUAGGGUUUAUUCCAAACGAUAAAUCGGAGGUUCGUGCAAGUCCCAGAGGGAUGCAACGAAAUGUCUCAAAUCGAUCUACCGUUUGAAGUCGGUGACACCAUCGAAGCAAGAUCUUUCGAAUUGGGGUUUCGUGGAGCAUGGUUCCGAUGCAAGAUUACAAAGAUAUUCAACAAAGGGAGAGCAUUAUUCUACGAUUUGGAGUAUCUUGAUUUCACAGAAGAAGGAAUACACACAACAAAAGUAUAUCAAAAACGCCAAGGCGAGAGCGAGAAUAUCCUAAUGGUUCGACCCAUACGCCCCCGUCAGUCUCAUGAAAAUGAGGAAGGUUGUGGUGGAGAAGAAGAAGAAGAAGAAGAAGAAGAAGAAGUUGUUGUUGUUCGUGGUCUUUGGAAGGUGGGUGACUUGGUGGACUGGUGGAAAGACGAUUGCUAUUGGUCUGGAACGGUUCUAGAAGUGAAUGAAGAAGAUGAAACGGCUAAGAUUGAAUUGGUGCCUGAACCGUAUGGCGAAGGAAAAAGCUACGAUGCUAUGUUUAAGGAUUUGGUUCCUUCAUUGGAAUGGUCACUUGAAGAUGGAUGGAUUGUGCCUUUCUCUAAGGAUGGUGAAAAGAGGCAGUGUGCUAAGCUAAUGAAACUUCCUAAUGAAGGAGCUGAAGAAACUAGAGAAGAAGAAAAGCAGAGACCCACAAAGAAGUUAGCAGUUGAAGAAGAAGAAAAGCUGAGACCCACAAAGAAGUUAGUAGGAGACCAAGAUCUUGCGUUGAAUAUCAUGGAAUCAGAGUCUAUAGAAGCUGCUGUGAUGGACUUGGAGGAGCAAAUUGUUCGAAUAGAAUGGAUAAAAGGAAUGUUAUUGCUAAAUUCAGAUAAUUCAACCUGGAUAUAUGAGGAUUAUCCUCCUCCAUCUUCCUAAAAAUAUGUGACAGGUUAUAAUCAUCUCUCUUUCUUCUUUUCUUUGAACCUAACCUAAACGUCUCUCGAGUUGCCUUUUAGCCUUCUCAAGUUGUUGUUUCAUUUUGUUCAGGCUUUGAAUUGGUUCUCUUCUGUAUCACAAUUUUUUAUAGUCCUUAGGUGGAGGAGUAGAGUAGAAGAUGUAAAUGAGGGUAAGACCUAAGAUGGAUCAUAUUUGACACGUUUUGAGAUAAUUGAAAACGGAACAUGACUCUGUUUCUUAGACGUCUUUCUUUUAGGUAUUUUGGUUUCCUUUGUUUUUUUUUUUGUUUGUUGAUAUACUUUGCAACAAUUUCCUCUGUAUUUAACCUCGAACCUACUUUUUGUAGUCUGGGAAUUGAACUAAAGAGAAAGUUAAGGAUUAGUAAUUUCA